rnacentral:rRNA from 1 species
AGGAUGAACGCUGGCGGCGUGCCUAACACAUGCAAGUCGAACGUCCUGUCUCGCAAGAGGCAGGGAGUGGCGGACGGGUGAGUACCACGUGGGUCAUCUACCGUGAGGUGAGGAAUACCGGCGAGAAAUCGCCGACAAGACCGCAUAGGCUCGAUGCAAGUCGAGCAAAGCUCUUUCGAGAGAGGGAGCGCCACACGAGGAGCCUGCGCCCGAUUAGCUAGCUGGUGGAGUAAUGGUUCACCAGGGCGACGAUCGGUAGCUGGUCUGAGAGGACGAUCAGCCACACUGGGAUUGAGAACGGCCCAGACUCCUACGGGGGGCAGCAGUGAGGAAUUUCGUCAAUGGGGGCAACCCUGAACGAGCAACGCGCGUGCAGGAGAAGGUUUCGGAUCGUAAACUGCUUUCGUCGGGAAGAGAACGGACGGUACCCGAGGAAUCAGCCCCGGCUAACUACGUGCCAGCAGCCGCGGU